rnacentral:rRNA from 1 species
GACGAACCGUGCGAACGUUGUUCGGAAUCACUGGGCUUAAAGGGCGCGUAGGCGGCUGCGCAAGUCGGGGGUGAAAUCCCUCGGCUUAACCGAGGAACUGCCGUCCAAACUGCUUCGCUUGAGACCGGGAGAGGUGAGCGGAAUUCCCAGUGUAGCGGUGAAAUGCGUAGAUAUUGGGAGGAACACCAGUGGCGAAGGCGGCUCACUGGACCGGUACUGACGCUGAUGCGCGAAAGCGUGGGGAGCAAACGGG